GCAAAUCACCAAAGACAAAAGUAUUUUUAGGCCAAAAAACAAAGAAAGGACAUAACUAUUUCAGGACAUUUUUUACCCUUUCCAGUUUCCAUUCCACCUGCCGGAGACGCUACACACAGUCACACACCCAAAGUGCACUUAUUGGUGGCUUCCAACAGACUUCUCCAGCUAUGGAGCUACACAAUCACAAUGCUCCUGAUGGACCUCAUCUUGUUCAAGUUCAUAAUGAAAGACUUAAGGAUAUGAUUUCUGGAGGCUCAGAAGACCUUGAUUCCUGGAACUCACUGAUAUCAGAGAUUGAGAAAACCUACCCUGAUGAUAGAAAUACGAUUUGUUUGGCUUUUGACUCCUUUUUGUCUAAAUUUCCACUGUGCCACUGGAAUUGGAAAAGAUAUGCUUAUCACGAGGCACGGCUAUGUAAUGCUGAAAAAGCUGUUGAAAUCUUUGAGCGAGCUGUGGAAUCAACACCAUUUUCUGUUGGUCUGUGGGUUGACUAUUGUACCUUUGCUAUGAGUUCGUUCGAGGAUCCAUUUGAUAUUCGUAGGUUAUUUACCAAAGGAAUCUCCCUUGUUGGGAAGGACUACUUCUGUCAUGUCUUAUGGGACAAGUACAUGUCCUUUGAGUUCUCUCAGGAGAAGUGGGGUUCCCUUGCUCUAGUUUAUGUACAGGCUCUAUGCUUUCCCACAAAGAAGUUGCAUAAGUACUACGAGAAUUUUAAGAAGCUUGUAACCAAUUUAGAAGAGGAGAUUCUACAUCUCAGCGAUGACAGCCGUGAUGUACAACUAAAAGAGCUAUCCAGUGCAACAGCUGUGUUAUCGAAUAAAGAAAUUGUUCAAGUUGUUAAGGACCUCCAGGAUCCUAGUGAUGAUUCAGUCAGGUUGAAAGCACUAUAUAAGUACAGAUACUGUGGAGAUCAGCUGUACCAGAAAGCUUGUCAACUAGAGGAAAAAAUUAAAAGUUUUGAAUCAAACAUCCAGAGGCGAUAUUUCCAGGCAACUCCUCUUGACAAUGAUGAGCUGAAGAACUGGCAUGAUUAUCUCGACUUCAUCGAAAAACAAGACGAUUUUGAUUGGGCCCUAAAACUUUAUGAGAGGUGCUUGAUAUCCUGUGCCAACUACCCCGAGUUCUGGAUACGUUAUGUGGAUUUCAUGGAGACUAAGGGAGGACGAGAGCUAUCGAUGUUUGCUUUAGAACGAGCAACAAAAGUUUUCUCAAAGAAUGUUCCAGAAAUCCAUCUUUUUACUGCUAGAUAUAUGGAGCAAAUUGGAGAUCCAGAUGGUGCUCGUGCUUCCUUUCCUCCUAUUAAUACAGAUUGGGACUCCUGUUUCAUUCAAUAUGUUACCAAUCGAGCAAAUAUGGAAAAACGUCUGGGAAAUUGCUCAGCUGCUUCUGAUAUCUACAAAAGAGCAAUUAAUAUGGCAGUGAAGGAGCAGAAAUUGCAAUGCAUUCCAAUGCUAUACAUUGGUUAUUAUCGCCUAACACACAUGAUCACUGCUAGUCUGGAGGUUGCAAGAGAUGUAAUAAUUGAUGGAAUAAAGCGUUUCCCUGGUUGCAGACUUCUUUAUGAGGAAUUGAUAAGAUUUGCGAUGGCACAUGAAGGAACUAAGCAACUGAGCAUAGUAGACUCUGUCAUAGCUAAUGCAAUCUCUCCUGUGUCAGAUGUAUCCCAAGAUUUGGAUAUAAAAGAUCGAGAGAGUAUUUCUAUAUUAUUUUUGGAGUUUGUUGAUCUUUGUGGUUCUAUCUCUGAGAUAAGAAAGGCAUGGAGUCGUCACAUCAAAUUGUUUCCUCAGUUCAUAAGAACCAAUACCUCAUCGAAUCAUAUAGGUACUGAGAAGAGUUCACUGAACAGCUUUACUGAACAAAGGAGAAACAUUUCCUAUGUCUUAGUUAAUCAGCCAUCAAAAGGACCAAGCUCUGACCACAUGAUCCAGCUGUCCAAAGGAGAGCAGGCGCAGUUACUGCCGCUUAAAGAUGGGAAGCAACCAGAUCAGCUUUCUGCAGAGCCGUCUGUAGCUGUGGUCAAGGGAAAAGAUGCAACUGGUAAACAAGAACAGAUAUCUCCCGAAGUGGAAGAUUUAUCCAGUGGAAAUGGCUCUGGGAAAAAUGAGUUAUCUUUUGACCCUCUUGUUCAAUCAAAGGAUGAUUCCUCAACGCCAAUGGAACUAAGUCAUGGUCCAUCACAGCAGAGGAGAGACGAUUUGCCUGGACCAAUGGACUUCUCUUAUGAUUCCAUACCGCAACCUGGAGAAGAUGUAUCCAAGUCUCCUGGGCCAGUUCUGGACUUUAAAGAGCCCUCAAGGCCCCUUUCUGUUUUAGAAACCUCACAAGAACGUCCAAGUUCAGAAAUUAUCAAUCAAGUUCAGGAUGUUGAACUUGAACAGCCACCGGUGCCGGUUUCUUUGGAGAAUCUUUCCUUGAUCUCUGAGGAAAUGGAAUCCCAGGAUUUGGUCGCCAUGCAUUCUGAUGAUCUUAAAGGUGGUGAAGAAAUUCGCUCAUCAAGCACAGGCAUACCACCAGAUCCUGUAAAUGAUGGAGAUGGACCAGCUAGCUGUUCAUCUCCAGGUCCUGUUACUGCAGGAAGUUCACAGCAAAUAUAUGAUACAGCAGCAGUUCCUGAGAGCGGUAGUUCAAAGGUGUCCAAUCAACCGGCAGGAUAUGAUCAGCAACAGCAAUCACAACGAGCUGAUUCGCAAGAACCGCGCUUGCUUGAUUCUCAGGGUGAUUCGCAGUUCCAACAGGUCCUGGAUAAGGCUCCUGUCCAUAGUCAAUCAGGUACUUCUCAGGGGAAUAUCCCGAGUAAUGAAUGCUGGACAUUAAAUAAUAUGCCACAGCAGAUCUCCAUGUCUGGAAACCAUCUCCAGGCGUCUUCCUCGCCUGUUUCUUAUUCUCAACCAAGUCCAGCUCAUUAUUCUGUGCACAAUAGCCAGCAAAUUGGGCCCAAUCCCCAUCACGAAGCCUUGAAUCAAACAUCACAACACAUCUCCCUAUCAGAAAACCACCCUCAAAUGUCUUCCCCACAUGCUUCUUUUUCUGAACCUAGUACACCUCAACAUUCUGGGCAGAGUAGCCAGCAAAUUGGGCCUUCACACCACCAGGAAGCAUUGAAUCAAACAUCACAAAACUAUUACCAGCAACAGCAUCUUUCGCACGGACAGUAUCAACAGCAUCAGUUGCAAAUGCAACAGCCCUAUACUAGUAUACAGCAGCAACAGAUGCAUCCACAUCCAAGUCAACUGCUGUAUCAGCAGCAGCAGCUUAAUCUGCAACAACAACAGCAACAGAGUCAGCAGCAAACACUUCUAUUGCAACAGCAACAGUAUUUCCAGCAAAUUCAGUCUUUACCGUAUCAACAGCAGCAAUAUCUUCACCAGCUACAAUAUUCACAGCAGGCACAGCAACUAUGGCAACAGCAGUUUCAACAGCAAGCACAACAGACGCAACCACAGGAAGGCCAGCAAAUGCAGCAGCAGCUAGAGCAAUAUCGUCAGUCACAAGAACUUGCAUACCAGAUGCAACAGCAUGGUUAUCAACUACUCAUGCACCAGUACCAAGUACGUCAACAAGGAUGUCAGAGCAUGCGACAACAACAACAACAAUGGCAACAACAGGGAAAUCUCCAAUUGCAGCAAUACUCUCACCUACAACAGCAGCAAUAUCAUCAUCUGGAGCAGCAAACAGACGAGGAAUACAAUCAAACUCAUCAGGGUGAACACGUUGCGGUGCAAUAUUCUUCAGGAACUCCUGCUGCUGAAUCAGAAUCACCAGAAAUUGCCAAGGAACCACAUUCGGCAGAAAAAUUUAGACGUUCUGUAUCCCCUUAUAGGCGGCCUCCUACUCGUGGAAUCUCACCUUCUCAUAGUACAGCCACGUUGGCAUCAGAGGCUUCUUCAUUUUCGAGGACAAAUUCUUCCCGAGAUCAGUAAAGUUUUAGUAUGUCCCUGCCUCAGUUACUCUUGCUGAAGAAUUGUUUGUAGUAGUAAACUGAGUUCUCUAUAUCCUUUGAAUGUCAAAGUAGAGUCACAAAUGGAAGUUGCAUAGAAAGAAGGUGUUGACAUUGAAAAUAGAAGAGACUAAUAAAGCAGGCAUUGGAGGUAUUCUCAGAGACAGUGAAGGUGAUAUUAUUAUGGCAUUUUCUGUUCCUGUAGAAUGUGAUAGUAACAACUAUGCUGAGGCGAUGGCUGCAGAAUAUGGUGUGUGUUGGUGCAUACAACAUGGUUUCAAUAAUCUUCUAUUGGAAUUGGACUCUCAAAUCAUCACAAACACGCUGCUCAAAAAAGACACUGAAAAUCUGAAACUUAAGCAGAAGCUAAUAGAGUAGCUGAUUACUUUGCUAAGUUGGCGUCAACAAGCGAAAGGAGGACCUUGUUUCUUUCUCAAAGGGAUCUGCCAAGAGAAGCUAAGGGGCUAAUUCAACUUGAUAAGUGGCAACUUCCUACCUUUAGAAGAAGAUCUGAAAAAUGUAAUUUCUUUGUUAGUUAAUCUUUUUGUAUAGCAUGGAAGGAUACUGUUUUGGCUAAUCCUUCCUUUAGGUUGCUUUGUUUGUCAAUCUCUUUUGUAGAUUAGAGGUAAGGUUUCAUGUUCCCCUCUAAUCAUUGCGAGUUAUUCACUUAUAAUAUAACAUGGUAGGGGUCAAGCUAAACCCCUCA